AUUGAACGCUGGCGGCAGGCCUAACACAUGCAAGUCGAACGAGUCGGGGACGGGUGAGUAAUGUCUGGGAAACAGCCUGAUGGAGGGGGAUAACUACUGGAAACGGUAGCUAAUACCGCAUACCAUCGGAUGUGCCCAGAUGGGAUUAGCUAGUAGGUGGGGUAACGGCUCACCUAGGCGACGAGCCAUAGCUGGCCUGAGAGGAUGACCAGCCACACUGGAACUGAGCCACGGUCCAGACUCCUACGGGAGGCAGCAGUGGGGAAUAUUGCACAAUGGGCGCAAGCCUGAUGCAGCCAUGCCGCGUGUAUGAAGAAGGCCUUCGGGUUGUAAAGUACUUUCAGCGGGGAGGCGUUACCCGCAGAAGAAGCACCGGCUAACUACGUGCCAGCAGCCGCGGUAAUAC
rnacentral:rRNA from 1 species